UUGAGCAACUAAUCCUGUAUUAACAACUACAAUACCUUUCCCUUCUUAGGCUGAUUUGCAAAUGGUUUACUGCAACAAGUGUGACAGACUUGUGAAUCAGAAUUAGGUUUGACUUCAAUGAAUGUUGCGAUUUAGUGCAAUGGAAUUUCUGGUAAAUGGCAAUUUUAUCAAGUUUCAUAGACUGUUUGUGUGAUGAAAAAUCUAAACAAAGAUCGUAACUUACCUGGUAAAUGAUCUUGAAGCUUAAUAAUAUAUGUUGCAGAUCCAACCCCUGUUUUGAAUUUGGUCAGCAUAUAUAGUUGUGUAGUAAUUGGUAACCAAAUUUUGGCAUGACCAGGAAAAGCAUGGUCAAAGACUCAAAAUCAAUGUUACCUUUUAUCAAAAUAAACAUACCAAUCCUUGCUCAGUAUCAAGAUAGGUUGUUGUCCUCAUUUUUCCAGAUAGGACCUGAUAAUUCAGUAAGUUUAAAUGACACUUCAUUGAGUUUUUAGACAAUCAUUACCUUCACAUGCAGUUAAUCCAAACGAAUAUUCGCUCAUCUGUAGCAUGCUGUAAUACAUGACAAUGAGUGUAAUGUUCAACAAAGAUAAAUGCUAGAAUCAAACAAAAGAUCAUAAUCCUUGACUAUGUAAAAAGGGACAACAUUUAUUUAGACAUAGGCCUCAGUUUCUACACGAGAAUAUACUCCGCCAGACAGUCACAAAGUGAUGAAGCAAAAGAUAAAUCACUCUUCUUUACUUAGUAAUAUCACAAAAUUGCAAUACCAUUAUUUGGUUAAAGUAUUAGUUAUGCAGUUAUAAUAAUUUAAAAACUGUUAUGUGGUAAAUAAAAAGUGUGGGGAUUAUUACGCGAAGAAUAAUAAAUGAGUAAUGCUACGCAGGGACUAUCUACAUUUUUGCCUGUAAAUACUCUUAUAUCCACUCAUUGUGGAACAAUGUGUUUUUAUUCCACAUAAAAUAAUACAUAGAUUCUUGCACAAGUCAUGAGGAUAUUAAUAAUGAACAGCUAAAUAUCGCCAACCAAAUGUUGCAUUAGUUAUGUCAAGCUAAUAUUUUCUUAUGCGGCUAACUGAGUGCUACAUAGUUAUGCGGAUAUUACCUUCUCUUAUGCGGCCAAGAAACGUUAUACCAUUUAUGUGGAAGUUUAUGCUGAGAUUUAAAUUUGCUAAUGAGGCCAACCAAACGAAUCCCUAAGAGAAACAAUCGUUUAAAGUAAAUGCAAUAUA
rnacentral:lncRNA from 1 species